rnacentral:rRNA from 1 species
CAUGGCUUAUUGUAAUAUUUAUAUUAAGUCAGGCCUGCUCAAUGAUUUAUUUUAGAUUUAAUAGCCGCAGUAUUUUGACUGUGCGAAGGUAGCAUAAUCAUUUGUCUUUUAAUUGUAGGCUUGUAUGAAGGGUUUGAUGAGAUUCUAGCUUUCUUUAUUUUAUUUUAUUAACUUAAUGUUUGAGUUAAAAGGCUUAAAUUUAUUUGUAGGACGAGAAGACCCUAUAGAAUUUUAUUAAUUUUAGAUAUAUUUUAUUAUAGGUUAUUAUAAAUAAAAUAUAUUUUUGUUAGUUUUGUUGGGGUGAUGGGGAAAUUUUAUUAACUUUCUUUAUAUAUUUAAUUAUAAAUUAGUAUUUUAAUGAUCCUAUUUUAAGGAUAGCAAGAUUAAAUUACCUUAGGGAUAACAGCGUAAUUUUAUUGGAGAGUUCUUAUCGAUAAUAGAGUUUGCGACCUCGAUGUUGGAUUAAAAUAAGUAUUAAGUGUAGAAGCUUAAUUACUGGGUCUGUUCGACCUUUAAUGUUUUACGUGAUCUGAGUUCA